GUCUGUGGCCAUACCACCCUGAAUGUGCCUCAUCUUGUCUGUCAGAAGCUAAGCAGGGUCAGGCCUGGUUAGUACUUGUAUGGGAAGAGUAGAAGAUUGUACGUAUC
ensembl:rRNA 5S_rRNA 5S ribosomal RNA